rnacentral:snRNA from 1 species
GUGUUUGCUUCGGCAGCACAUAUAUAAAAUAGGAACAAUACAGAUAAGAUUAGCAUGGUCCCUGGGCAAAAAUGACAUGCAAAUUCGUGAAGCAUUCCAUAUUUUU